rnacentral:rRNA from 1 species
CCAAUAGCGUAUAUUAAAGUUGUUGCAGUUAAAAAGCUCGUAGUUGAAUUUCGGGACCAAUAUGUUGGUCGUGCUUCGGUACGUACUUGCAUUAUUGGUCUCUCCCUUCUGAAGAACCAUGAUGUCAUUAAUUUGGUGUCUUGGGGAAUCAGGACUGUUACUUUGAAAAAAUUAGAGUGUUUAAAGCAGGCUCACGCUUGAAUACAUUAGCAUGGAAUAAUGAAAUAGGACGUUUGAUUCUAUUUUGUUGGUUUCUAGGAUCGACGUAAUGAUUAAUAGGGAUAGUUGGGGGCAUUAGUAUUCAAUUGUCAGAGGUGAAAUUCUUGGAUUUAUUGAAGACUAACUACUGCGAAAGCAUUUGCCAAGGAUGUUUUCAUUAAUCAAGAACGAAAGUUAGGGGAUCGAAGACGAUCAGAUACCGUCGUAGUCUUAACCAUAAACUAUGCCGACUAGGGAUCGGAUGAUGUUAUUUUUGAUGACUCAUUCGGCGCCUUACG